AGAAACUUAGGUUAAUAUAAGACCGAGAGCCUUCAAAGCUCCUAGCAAGUUAAAUUAUACUUAGUUUCUG
rnacentral:tRNA from 1 species